rnacentral:lncRNA from 1 species
GUUUGAUUAACUGAAGUUCAUUCCUUCACAAAGCUGUUUGUUUAUGCUCCAACUCUCAUGGUUGGCCCUGUAUACUUUGGUGUUUUAAAAAAAGAAAGCAUUUUUCCUCUUACCCUUAGGUGCUCCUCUUUUCAUCACCCACCUAGCUCUUUCUAUAUCAUUUCUUCAUCUAAAAGGCUGUCUCUGAGUUACCUGCAGAUGGUACUUCAAAUGCCCUCCCUCAUCUCUUUGCUACAGUGAUGCAGUGUUGCCCACUACACACAGCUGAGACAGAACAAAAACACAUUCUUUAUGGAGAAACAGGCAAACAGAACCCCUACGGACUCAAGAACAUUGGCUGGUGGCUCAGCAUACACAAAACAAGAAAGAGAAAAAUCACAGAUAGAGCACAGCAUGUUACUCUGUAAGAGCCAUCUUGAAUUGCUGCACAGCCACCCUCCCGCUCCCACACACAGACAACAACCUGGGCAGCUCCUUACUUUUAAAGCCUAUGGUAUGGACCAAGCUAACAAGUCAAAUGACUUUAUGUUACUGCAUGAUGAGCUUCUAAACAAGGACAAAACCAUCAAGGAGCAUGAAGAGGUUUUUCAUAAAGGUUCUGAUCUACCUUCAAAAUGGACAUCUCUGCAGAUCACUAAAAGUGCUGAUAGCAAGAGUAUGAAGUUUCUUGCAAAGUUGGCCAAAGAUGCACACCAGAGACCGGGCUUGAGGAAGCAGGUUGCUGAUCACAACUUUGCCAGCAAGUGUUUAUUGUAUGUCCCAAGAUAUUUUGUACAAAUGUAUGACCUAACAGUUCUUACACAAACUGGUAUAGCACAAGAUGUUUUGCAUGAAGACACUAGAUUUUCCAGUGACAAAAUUGCAAGAAGCCAAAGGAUGAUGAAACAGGAUAAAACUUGUAUAGUCAGACAUUUCAAAUCUUUACCAGAAGUAUGGGUCACUUUCUGAUUGACCAUCAUCAGCUUUGCCAAGAGGAACUAGGCCGAGUUGCCCAACAAAAAAAUUUUCAGUUUUGUUCAACACAGUGCUCCUUGACCCCAAAACAUGUGGUUGAGAGAUGAGGAUUGUCAUCAGCAGACCGUCAAUGGGAUUUGUGCUCCUAAAUCACUUAGGCAUUUUUGAAAAUCCCACAUCUGAUUCUUAUUUACCUUAACAACAUUAGCAAUGGAACACUGUCUUGAACUGGGCUUGUACGUUGACACCUACUUUACAAGCCCCUUUUCAUUCCCAGAGCUGGUGAAAAAGAGCCUUAGGUUUGGUCUUUAUCACCAACUUAUGUCAGUAUAAACUACGUUGCUCAGAGGUAUGGAAAAUCCAUACCCCUGAGUGACGUAGUUCUCCUGACCUAACCCCCAGUGUAGACAGUGCUAUGGAGGACUUCUCCUACUGCCUCUUGGGGAGGUGGAGUACUUACGCUGAUGGGAUCUUCACUAAGCGCUACAGUGGCACAGCUAUACUGGUGCAAUUGCAUCACUGCAGCACUGUAAGUGUAGACAAGCCCUUAUGCUGUGUCUACACUACAGACUUCCACCAGCGUAGCUACAUGAGGAAGUGUGAGCUCUGUCUGACACUGCAGAAGUGCAGAUGCCGUUAAACUGUACUUUUGCCGGGAUAGCUUGUUUUGCUAAUGGGGGGGGGGGAGGAGUAGUUUUACUAAAACAGAACAAAGUGCAGCUCCACAUUAUGAGCACUUUGAUAGUAUAGUAUAUUGGUAUUCCUGUACUGAUAAAGCACUUCUGGUGUAAACAUGGUGUUUGCAUAAGUGAGAAUCAGGAUCUCAUGUCUGAUGCCCCCAACCCUGGUUAUUCAUUGUGGAUGUUGUCUCUGUGUUCAUAUGUUUUUAUUGUGGUAGUUAUAAAUUUGGGGAGCAUUUUUGUUAUUAGCAUAACAUUAAAUAUAGUAUUGUGUUUUUGAUUGUUGUAAAGGCUCCCAGAGGUUUGGGUGAGGG